UCCCUGGUUGGGAUGCGGCUGGGAUGAUUUUGCUUCGGAAUGUUGGCUUUGCAGUCUUUUGGGGAAUCGAAAACACUAGUUUAUGAUUUUUCCCGACGUUUCGGUCCGUAUGGGACCUUUUUCAAGGGUUCUAAAAUAUAAUUAUUCAACUAUCAAUACAAAAUUUUAAACAUUUAAUUAGUUUUACAAUUUACCAAUCGGUCAAGGUUUCCUAGUCAAGAUGGCUUUGCUAAACUCAAAAAUGUCAUGCGGAACUUUUGGUCUAAAUGGAAGAUUCAAAGGUCAAUUUUCAUUUUAUACAUAUUUGUUGUCCUGCACUGUACUCACAUAGAUUGAGUCCGUUCGGUUUUCAACCGUCGUGAUGCGGACAAUCUCCUACCUAUCGGGCGGUCUAGAAUUCGGUCCCUGUUUUUGGAAUCUUCCACCAUUGCUUUUCGCAUGAUAUUCUUUUUGUUUGUGUGAGUCACUUUCUCUCUGUUUAGUUUAGUGUGUGUCUUAACUAUCUAACCCUGAGAAGAUUCUCUCAUCUAUCUAUAUUGUUUUGAUCGUCAUCUUCUAUUCGUCGUCUCGUUUUUCAGUAAGUGUAAUAGUCCGGCAUAAGCUACAUGGAGAUUGUCAGUGUCUGUGCGUUUGUUUACAGUAUUGUUAGUGUUGUAUAGAGUGUGUGUUUGGAGGCAACGUCGAAAUGCCGCUUUUUCAUUUGGUUCGGCCGCGAGCGCGUCGUCGUCGUCGUCGUCUAUUUCAUAGUGCUCGUCUUCGUACAGGGCAGUUUAGUGUGUGUUUGGAGGCAACGUCGAAAUGCCGCUUUUUCAUUUGGUUCGGCCGCGAGCGCGUCGUCGUCGUCGUCUAUUUCACAGUGCUCAUCUUCGUACAGGGCAGUUUAGUGUGUUUUUGGAGGCAACAUCGAAAUGCCGCUUUUUCAUUUGGUUCGGCCGCGAGCGCGUCGUCGUCGUCGUCGUCGUCUAUUUCACAGUGCUCGUCUUCGUACAGGGCAGUUUAGUGUGUGUUUGGAGGCAACGUCGAAAUGCCGCUUUUUCAUUUGGUUCGGCCGCGAGCGCGUCGUCGUCGUCGUCUAUUUCACAGUGCUCAUCUUCGUACAGGGCAGUUUAGUGUGUUUUUGGAGGCAACAUCGAAAUGCCGCUUUUUCAUUUGGUUCGGCCGCGAGCGCGUCGUCCGCGUCGUCGUCGUCUAUUUCACAGUGCUCGUCUUCGUACAGGGCAGUUUAGUGUGUUUUUGGAGGUAACGUCGAAAUGCCGCUUUGAGUUUUUGGUGGCAAAGUGUGCAGGCCGCAUUUUCAUUCGGAUCGUCCGUCGUCGUCGUCUAUUUGACUGUCCACAUCGUCGUACCCGUGUGUAGUUGUAGCGGUUCAGUGUGAUUUCGGAGAAGAGGCCAAUUAGUGGAAGAUGCUGUAGCACAUACGCACUGGACACUUCAAAGGAUGUUAAUUGGUGAGCUCUUUCCAUUUUAUCAUAACAAUAAUAAUAAUAAUAAUUAAUGCUAAAGGAUUUAUACAAUUCUGCUCUGGUUUUUGUGUAUUUAUCUAACAAAUAUUGAAAAGUUCGUCACGUCAUGUGUCGGCGCUAGUUCCAAAUGCACAUUUAGUUGAUAAUAAAUAAUUUCCUUUCAUUUUUUGCAUGAACACAACAAUUUGAAUGGUUCGUCAUCUUCGGUGUCGACAUUUGUUAUAUUUUAGUCCAAAUGAAAUGUUUUGACUCAAAUAAAGGUUGCAUGAAUUUCUGGAAAAAGAGAGGGUCGGUAAAAGAUAGACGGCGAACCAUGCGGUAAGAUCUUUCUGAUUUAUUUAUCACGUGUUAUUUUGUUAAUACUUGUGGAUUGAUCGCGUUCAGCAUUGUCUCGCGCGGAAACGCAAACUACAGAUGCGUCGGUGUUUAGCAUUGUGUUCUCCUUAGUUGCGAAUUAAUAACUUAUGUAGGGUGAGUUUUGAGGCACAAAAGAUCACGUUCGUCGUCCAAGGUAUAGAAGGGUAUUUCUUCGCGAGCGCAUUAUUAAUCGCGAAUCAAAACAUUACACUCGUUUACCACGACAAAAUCCUCAACACAUCUCCAUUUCCCCUGUCCAAACUCCUAGUGAUUUCUCGUAGUAACGCAGAGAAUUCCUCGGUUAUUGGCCUAAGCGAGAAUCACGUCAUCACUUCCUUCCCUAUCCUCAAUUGACCUGCAUUCGGACGCGGCCGGCGCUGGUAUUGCUUAUUGAAAAGUAUUGGGAUUCCAGCAUUUACACAAUGAAGAGAAAGCUAAUCCCAAGCAUCAUCUGUUGGUUCUUUGUGUAAAUGCAGUUGUCCUUGCAAUAACAGAGGAGCAACCGCGGGCGGUCAAUCAUGCUCAUGCUCAUGCUCAUGCUCAGUAUUGUUAGUGUUGUAUAUGUGGCAACUUUCAAGAAUGUGUAGAUUGUUUGUUUUGAAUGUCCUAUCUAUGAUGUUUGUUUCGUCUAGCUUAAAAUUAUGGUCCAUCGUUGCUGCAUGGUUAACAAGUGCCGUUUUUUCCCUCACCCAGCUAACCUCCGCGUCUUCGUUUGUAUACCCUUUGUCUAGUAGUGUUUUUAGCUUUUUCAAGUUUGAUCUAUGUCCAGAUAUUCUUUGUUUUAGUUUUGUACUGGUCAUUCCUAUAUAGCAUGCCUCACAAUCUGCGCAGUCUAUUUUGUAAACAACGUUGCUUUGUUCGGUGUUGGGUGUUUUGUCUUUUACCGACGGAAGAAGAGACCCAAUUGUUUUGUGUUGUCUGUUUGCUAUUUUUAUCCCUGGGUAGUCCCUUUUUAGUGUUUUGGUUAUUUGUUGUGUUAAUCCGUCAAUGUUUGUGAGCGAGUAGAAUUUCAUUUCGUCUUGGUGUGUUUCUGUCUCGGUUUCUGUUCUACUCACGUCCAUAGCUGUAUUGUUGUUUACCGUUUGAUGUUUUGCACGGUUGAUUAGUCUGUUGAUGAGGCAUUUCGAGUUUCGAGUUUAGCAAAGCCAUCUUGACUAGGAAACCUUGACCGAUUGGUAAAUUGUAAAACUAAUUAAAUGUUUAAAAUUUUGUAUUGAUAGUUGAAUAAUUAUAUUUUAGAACCCUUGAAAAAGGUCCCAUACGGACCGAAACGUCGGGAAAAAUCAUAAA